rnacentral:rRNA from 1 species
AUUGAACGCUGGCGGCAGGCCUAACACAUGCAAGUCGAACGGUAACAGGAAGCAGCUUGCUGCUUCGCUGACGAGUGGCGGACGGGUGAGUAAUGUCUGGGAGACUGCCUGAUGGAGGGGGAUAACUACUGGAAACGGUAGCUAAUACCGCAUAACGUCGCAAGACCAAAGAGGGGGACCUUAGGGCCUCUUGCCAUCGGAUGUGCCCAGAUGGGAUUAGCUAGUAGGUGGGGUAACGGCUCACCUAGGCGACGAUCCCUAGCUGGUCUGAGAGGAUGACCAGCCACACUGGAACUGAGACACGGUCCAGACUCCUACGGGAGGCAGCAGUGGGGAAUAUUGCACAAUGGGCGCAAGCCUGAUGCAGCCAUGCCGCGUGUAUGAAGAAGGCCUUCGGGUUGUAAAGUACUUUCAGCGGGGAGGAAGGGAGUAAAGUUAAUACCUUUGCUCAUUGACGUUACCCGCAGAAGAAGCACCGGCUAACUCCGUG